UCUGUAUAUAAGUGUGUGUGCUCCCUCCUCACAAUAAAGGACGCACACACAUUCUCUUAGCACAAAUGGCCAGAUGUCUUGUCUUUCAUUUCAAUCUCCAGGCGCCACAACACCCUAAACCUGGGUGGCAGCUUCUAGUGGCAUUCCACACAAAAGAACAUAGAAGGACAUUUUGCUUUUUGCCUGCCUGCCCCCAUUCUUGCUAGCAGGUUCAUCUAUCCUGUCGCUAAAGCAUCCUUUUACCAGUACUAUAACAGAUUUCUGGAAUUCCAACAUCAACUGAAGACCAGCAACUCUCCAGGAAUCCUCCAGGCCUCCAGUGCCAGAUGGGGUCUGAUAAGACACCCAUUCUCAUGGAUCAAACUACCAGAUCCUCUUUCAGCCUCUUUCAGCCAGUGGGAGACAGCCAUUGAUGGACUACCAGGACCUCAUCCCAUAAGCCAAUCUGAUAAGUCCUCAUUAAAUUUUCAGGGGAUCCACCACCUCUGAUCUCUUCAGGCACCCUCCCUCAGUGACACCGAGAGCAUGGCAUGAAGGACUCUGCAUAACCUAAAUAAGCGCUGGUUGCUGUGAUGAAGGCACACAGGAGUCCCUAAGGAGAUGAGCCAGUCUCUUCCCAACACAGCUGGGGCAAGAUCCCAGGCCGUAAUCCAGAACCACGUGUGACAUGGCAACAGUAAUGCCUCCUGAACAGAAUAUGCGGGAACAGAAUGCAUCAGCAACAGCACUGUCAACAGCGACCACAUAAACAACUGUCUGAAAUCACUGUCCGCACCAGCAGAUGUCAGCAGAGGUGGAUCCCAUUGGAGACUGGCUAGCUAGCCCUGGGACCGGAAAGCAAGCCACCAGGAUUUGCUCUCAACAGUGAGCAACUUCAGAUCACCUCUCUGUGCCUCACUCUUUGAAACAUGAAGCUGAGUUUCCUCAGAGUCCAUCAUCCAUGAGCCCACCACCUUCGCCCUUCCUGAUGUAGCUAGCUCGAUCUUCCCUGUGGCAUCAGUUAUAUCUCUC